GGGACUUCAGGGCUUCGUCGGGAGUGUAGGCAACACUGGACCACAGGAGCCAGGCGAAUCACCAGGCCCUGCAGGUGAUCGAGGGCCUAAAGGCUCACAGGGAGCCAAAGGGGUCGAAGGAGAAGAGGGACCCGCAGGACAACAGGAGAGCCAGGGGAGAGGGGAAACGGUGGAUUCCCAGGCACUCAAGGACCCAGUGGACAGAGGAUGUUCUACACUGGAGCUGGAAUGAACCCUGUCAGAUCCUUCUUCCUGCUACGUUCAAGAGGAACUUCAUGAACCACUGGGUAAGAAAAAUAUGUACAAAUUAUGCAUAAAAUUUGUAAACUACUUUCAAUUCAGAUAUAAUAGAUGUAAUGGUGUUGCAUUGUUUUGGUCUUUUAUAGAAUGUGCAAUGCACUGCAUGUAUUUCUCAGCUGCUCACAUGUAACUAUAAUAUGGUUUCUGUUCUUCCCUCCUCGUGCCUGCGCCCGUCCGUGCGUUCGUUCGUGCCUGCGUGCGUCCGUGUCUCCGUCCAGCUGGCUGUGCGUGCGUCCGUCUCUGCGUCCGUGCCUACGUCUGGCCGGCCGUGCGUCCGUCUGUGCCCACGUCCGUGCCUCCGUCUGUGCCCACGUCCGUGCCUCCGUCUGGCCGGCUGUGCGUCCGUCCGUCCGUGCGUCAGUCGGUCUGUGCGUCUGUGCCUAUGUCUGGCCGGCCGUGCGUCCGUCUGUGCCCACG